UUAUUUUCCCUAACCUUGCUCUACCUUCUCUCUACCCUUACACAAAUUUCAACUGUUGCAUUGAUAAAUAGGUGGUGUUCUUUCGUUCACAGAGUUGAGAGCUUCACAACCAUUUGAUUAGAUUCUCGUUCUUCAACGGGGUUUGAUUGGGUUCUCUUUGAGUUGGGCACUCUUGAAUCAAGUUGUGAGCUUAGCUGUGAAACCCUAAGAUGUGAGCAGAGGCGGAAGAGGUGCAUCUGGAGCAGGCUUUGGAGGAAGACGAUGAUGCCGCUUAGUCUCCUUAGG